rnacentral:lncRNA from 1 species
GUUGUACCCUUGGCUUUGGGUGUUUUCAAAAAAAAAAAAAUAAAUUGGUUAUGUGAUUCUUCUUCAUACACGUGCCAAACACUGCAUCAUCUCUCAUUCUUCUUCAAAACACCACAUCAUCUCUUCUUCCUUCCAAAACCCUUUUCUAUUCUCUCUGUGAACACAGAGAAGCUAUAGAAAUGUCCAUCGUUGCCGACCUAGGAGGUUGUACUCAUGCUUCAAUGUUUGACCCAGCUCUCAUUUCUUCUGCUAUUGGAUGAUAUGGGCGAUGGCCGACUCAUCAACUUCUUCAAUGUCUCUCAUCUCAAACAAAUCAAAACCCUAAUCCCUCACCCACCACCGCCCUCAUGUCUCACCUAACCACCACCAUCGUUCGCCGCCAAGCCACACCAGUGGAGAAACCGUGACAACUUGAUGAACGGUUGCUUCGGAGCAGACGCAAAGAUAACUUUUAGGGUUCAUUGGUAUGAAUCUUUUAUUGAUUUUUUGAAAAAUUAUUAAUCUUUUCUUGAAUUUUUGGGGGGAUUUGGUGUGAUGCGUAUGGAUAACUUGGGAUUUGAUGAGAUGGGUGUUCAAGUGAAUUUUAGGUUACAAUUGGUUAGCUUGUAGGAAUGUUGUAAUAUGUUGUUUAUCUGAUCUAUUUGGGACCGCAUCCUCCUUUAAUUCUAGGCUGCUCUAGAUCAUUUGAACCAGUGAACAGAUAUAGAGACUUCUCUUGGGGCUGUGGUUACUAAAAAUAAUCAAGACAAGGUAAAUAUGUUAUUAUUAAUGAUUUAUACACACACAUAUAUAUAUAUAUAUGUUCAUUCCUCAACUUUUGUUUAAUGGAUACAAGUAAUACUCUAGCUUGUGAAAAAAAUGAUUUUAAGGAAUUUUAUUCACUAAAAUACAAUUUGAGCUACUUCCGACCCAUAUGGUCAUUGGGAAUUUGUGUUGACCCUGGUUCUUUUUAAAGCCAAUGUAGAUCCGUGAAACAAUCUGUUCUUUUUAUGCUCUGGUGUGUUGACCGUUGUUUGUUUUGACUAAUGAAGUUAUGCUAAUGAUUAACUAUAUAAUGUUAGAUCCGUGAAACAACCUGUCUAAACGGAGGUAUUACUUUGCACUUGGCUGCUAUCAAUGGACACAUGUGUUGCAUUCGGAUCCUACUGUCUCAUUAUAUCCCUAGCAUUCCUACAUUUUUAUAAACUUUUCAAAAAAAUCAAGAAUUUAAGAAUGUGUGUCUGAAUCCAUUGACCGGUAUGCUUCAAGAAACGUUGAUUUAUCGUGUAUUAAUAUUUGUGAUUUUCUCUUGAGUUCUUUUGUGUAUGGGGACUGAUAAAUUUAAAACUUUAUUUGCAGAACCUCACUUUAUGAUAUAAUUAGCAACCUCCUGAUGGGCGAUGGGGGUGUGACUGCUCUUUAUUUGACUGCGGGUUUUAUGUGAGAUGUGUGGUUUAAUGGAAUUAAUCUAAACCACACAUCAUAUUACAUCUACAAACUAAGAGAUGAAAUGGUUUCAUCAUUUCACAAGGAGAUACUAUACACAAAAUCAGCUGCACAUAACGAAAAAUGCAUUUUGGGUGCAUUAGUGAGUUAACAAACCGUGAAGCAUAUUGCGCACCUCAUCCAGUUAAUACAGCUUAUGUCUUUAUGUUUGCUUAUUCAUUGUUAACAAUUGCCUAACGAUUACAAAACCUCCUACUUUUUAAAGUCAUUUAUUGGGUAUUUGAUGUUAGUCAAGAGUUCGUUCGAUGUGUUUGAAUUGUUCCUGUAACAUAAAAAGUACCCACAACGAAGUUAAAAGGUUCAUUUGAUGUCAUAUGUUAUAACGUGUGUUUCUAUCUUCGUAGCCCGCAUCGCAACGCGGGCGAUUCUAAUUUCUAGUUUAUAUUAAUUUGAUUUACCAUUCAUAUAUUUUAUUAAUUACAAUGUUUUAUAUUAUUCAUAGCAAAUGAUGAUGUUAAAAUAUUAUCAAUUUAUAUAAAUUUAUGUGUUGGAUUUAUUGUUUGAGGGAGAAGGAGGUAUUGCCAUGUGGUAUUUAUUGGAGUCCUUUAUUAUAAUUUAGAUUUAAAUUAGAUUAGAUGUAUCGAUUGUUUUUUUAUAUGUUAUUUUUAUUCUUAAUUUUAUAUAUAUGAGUAUAACGUGUUUUAUAACUAUAUAUACGAGGCAGGGAGUUUUCAUCGGUAUAGAUGGUAUUUGUAGGAUAUAAACUAAUCGACCGAGGUUGAGGGGCUACGUCCUGUUUGCGGUAUGCGCACUAAUUGGUCUUUGUUUUAAUUGCCGAGUGUUACGUGCCUUAUGUUCAAGGUUUGAUGCAAAACUAUCAUCGAGUCGGGGGUCUCACUGGAAGCAACCUCUCUAUUCCUACGUGGUAAGGUAAGGUUGUCUACAUCUUACCCUCCUCAGACCAUAUCUUAGCUUUGCUAUUGGUGAGAUUUACUAAAUAUGAUGAUGAUGAUCGAGGUUGAGGGGCCAACGACUAAAUCCGGGUAGGGUUGUAAACGAGCCGAGUCGAGCCGAGCUAGACCCAGCUCGAGCUCGGCUCGAGCUCGAAUUUUAAAUCGAGCUGAGAUUUGAGGCUCGAGCUCGGCUCGAUUAGAAUUCGAGCUAACUCGGCUCGGCUCGAUCUAGCUCGAACUAACAAAGAACCGCAAAAUUUAUUACUUUAAAAGCCCUUAAAAAUGAAUUUCUUCAUAGACUAAGGGCCAUAAUUGCCAUUUAAUUUAACCAUAUGGCUAAGUAUGCAAGUAUAAAUAGUUAAUUCACUUUCUCCUUGUCUUUACCUUCUUUUAUAGGGGAUAUACACCCUUAUUAGUUUUUGUUUUCUAGGCGGUGUGGGACAAAAAAAUAAAGGAUGUAAACCAUAUCGAGCCAGGUCACGAGCUCACGAGCCGAGCCAGACCAAGCUCGAGCUCGGCUCGUUUAUAAAUCGAGCCGAGCCGAGCUGGCUCGUUUACAACCGAGCCAAUUUCGAGCCGAGCUUUCUUCGAACGAGUUUCGAGCGAGCUGCGAGCCACGAUCUUUUUGAACACCCCUAAAUCCGGGUAGAUUUAUUUUUUUUUUCUUUCUUAUAUAACUCAAACAUGUGUUUUUUAUAUAUUGUUUUUUUUCUCAUAAAAGUCCUUUAACCUAAUUUUUGCAUAUUAAAGUCCCUCUCCUUGUUCAAAUUGAACAAAACUAUGUUUUUUUUAUAUUUAUAAAAUAGCUGCUUAGGGUAGUGGGGGUUGUCACUAGUGAUAGAAUUCCAUCAUUCACAAACAUCCCAUCAGCUCAUGCCAUGUCAUCAGCCACUAUUCUAUCACUCAUAAGCAUUUUGUAGUGGCGGUGGUCAUCACUAGUGAUGGAAUUCCAUCACUUACAAAUUUUUUUAAUUUUUUUUAAAUUAGAAAUUAACAAUAAAACACUAAAAUUAUAAAUUACGUUAAAAUUAAAACAUACUAGUUCAAUUUAACAUACUAGAAAUAUUUUAG